AUGCAUUAUGCGGGCAGUUUUUGACUAAUUUCUUGAAUCUCUUCCAAGCAUCACUAAAUGUUUCUUGAUCCUUUGUUGAAAAUUAGUGAUGUCUCUUUGCCU